UCUAGUCCUCUGUGGGGUAUGGCCCUGAGCUUCUGCUCCCUGGGCCUGAGGGGUGGGCUGGUCCCUGACCUCAGCUGUGGAGCAGGAGGCCCAAUUCUCGCUGGUAGAUGGCCUUGGGCUCCGUCCAGUGGCUUCCAUUGUUGAAUGGGCGGCUCAGGUCUCCAGCUUCCCCUCCCCUCCCUGCUGGUGGCCCGCCCCCACUCUUCCAAAUGUGUAGGAAGCAGGAUCCCAAAUCCACUUUCCUUCCCCCAGUUUAGUUUCUCCGAAGGCUGCUGUAGGUCUUUCAAAUUGCAGUUGCCUCCUGCGUUCUAAAAUGCCAUCUUCCUCUCCACUUCCC
rnacentral:lncRNA from 1 species